rnacentral:sRNA from 1 species
CUUCUAUGAUGAAAACUUUGGAAUUACCAAUUGAUAUACUAUGAAAAUACUCAUGCGGCUAUUUUCUACUGAGAAGAGCAACAAAGUACAUGGAUUCACUGUGUAUUGAAUGACUUGUUUGAGUAGUGUUUCAGUACUUAUUGCAACAAAUUUAGUAAUUAAUAUAUUAAAAUUCACUUUUGUUUUAAAUAGUGUUUGUAAAAUUUCUAUUCUUUUGCUUAUGAAAUGAGCAAAGUGUUUGAUAUUGCUGCUGUUGGUCCUUGGUAAGGAGGGUGUAUACUUUUCAACAUUGAUAUUCUAGGAACAUGAUGAAUUAGUAUCCCUCAUUUGUCUUCAAUUUUAAUGGCAAAUAGAUGAAAUUUUUAUACACUGAUUAGAGCUUCUGUUUGAUUGAAUUAUAUGAAAAAUAAUUAGCUUUUAAAUGCUUACUUUUAUCCAACCGAUCAGCAUAGAAUUCAUGGUUUAGUUAAGGUUUAUUGUUUUCUGAAACUUGCCACAGAUGUGAUGGGUUACUGUUAUGCAUGAAAAAGUAUUUUAGAAGUAACCUUGUUAAACUAUUAUGAUGCAGUAAAUAUAUUCCAAAAUACAAACUUGUAAACUAUAAAUCUAUGAACACUAUAGAUUGAAGGCUGUUCUCUUCUGUGAUGAAAACUUUGGAAUUACCAAUUGAUAUUCAAUGAAAAUAUCCAUGCGGCUAUUAUUUACUGAGAAGAGCAACAGAGUAAUGCUAGGUCACUUUGUAUUGAAUGACUUUAGUUAGAAAUUUAAAACAUUCUUACAAAAUAAGUACCCGAUAUUAAUAAAAAUUGUAUUUUUUUUAUAUUAAACAUAGUAGGAAAAUGUCUAUCUUUACUCUUCCAAGUAUUUGGCCUUUGCUGACAGGUCUUUGGAAGGAGGGGGAGUCCUAUUAAACACUAAUACAUUAUACUUUGGUUAUGAUCAAUUAGUAUGAGAAUUAUAUUCUUAGCAGAGCUUCAUUUUACACCAAGCAGUCCUUGCAACCUUCCUAAAUAUGCUGUUCAUUGCAAAGUUUUAGUAGCAUAAAUAACAUUGUUUAAGUUGACCUUUUGGUGAAUCACAAGAAAAAUUACUUGUUUUACUUUGCCUUGAUUGUCAGUCAACCUUGCCUGCACAGUGAAAUAUUAUACAAAUAUUGACUUGAGUUGAGGGCAACAUUGAUUAUAUUUUGAUUAUAUUAGCCCGAGUGACAAUAUAUUGCCCAAUGGGAAGCUGAGGGCAAUACAUCGCCCCGUACAAUAUUGACCGCUCAACACUUUCUGGAUGAACUAAUAUUUCAAUUAUUGAUUAUUUGUCUAUAUAAAGCUAUACUUCUGAAAAUUAAAAAAAACAUGAUCAAUAUAUAUUUCAUGGUUCAAGCCAGGUUGACCAUCUGUGCAUAUUUCAAGACAGAAGUGAUGAUUAAUCUAACUACUCAAUACAUGUAGUAUAAAAGAGAAAUGAAUUAUUUAUUCAAAAGUAGAUAGCAGUAAACUAUAAAUCUAUCAACAAUAUAGAUUAAAGGCUGUUCUCUUCUAUGAUGAAAACUUUGGAAUUACCAAUUGAUAUUCAAUGAAAAUAUCCAAGCGGCUAUUUUUUUACUGAGAAGAGCAACACAAUUAUAAGGGU